CUUAUCUCCAGUGUAGAGCUCAUUCUUCUUUUACCACUUAAAUGGAAGCUUUGGCUGAGCUAAGUAUCAGUUCUGCUCAAGAGUUCAUGAGGCUUUAAGUUUACCAAGCCACAAUUGCUCGGACUAUUUCACAUACGGCAUAGAUGCCAACGGGAGUUACAUUGGCAUUUUUACUGCCGAUCAAGCAGGCGUUCAAAAAUUGAACUUUUAUGCUACGUUUGUAUUCCAUGGCGCUAAAAAACAAGUCAGUACUAUUAAGCCUUACCCAACCACCACGGAUGCUAUUCGUAACAUUAUAAAUGGAUAUCGUGGUCAGGCGUUUGUUCAAUUCACUAAUAGUACCAGUGAGCUGCCUACACUGUUUGCGUUUGUCUGGAAUGGGAAGGUUUUGUGUAGAUCUUCGAUUGUCACUUUUCGUAAGCCUUUUUACGCAAUGGGAACCGAAAUAACAAUAAAAACUUCCCAGCCUAUACGAAAACUUAAAGACACUCGGCCAAUAAUGCACCCAAUCUUUCCCCAAAUUGAGCCCAAAAUAAUCGUAUAAUGCAGAAAUAAUAUAUAUAACACGAUUAACAAAUACAAAUCAAUAUAUAUGAUUCAUGGAA